rnacentral:tRNA from 1 species
GGGGUUGUGGCUCAAUGGUAGAGCACUGCCUAGCAUGUGUGAGGCUCUGGGUUCGGUCCUCAGCACCACA